GACGACGCUGGCGGCGUGGAUUAGGCAUGCAAGUCGAACGGUAUCAUCCUUCGGGGUGAGAGAGUGGCGAACUGGUGAGUAACACGUAGGUUAUCUACCCUCAAGACGGGACAACCCAGGGAAACUUGGGCUAAUACCGGAUGUGAGCAACUUUUAGUGUUUGAAAGGUGGCGUAAGCUGUCGCUUGGGGAUGAGCCUGCGUCCUAUUAGUUAGUUGGUGAGGUAACGGCUCACCUAGGCAAUGAUAGGUAGGCGGCCUUAACGGGUGGUCGCCCACACUGGGAUUGAGAUACGGCCCAGACUCCUACGGGAGGCAGCAGUCGAGAAUAGUCUACAAUGGUCGGAAGACUGAUAGUGCGACGCCGCGUGAACGAUGAAUCCCUUCGGGGUGUAAAGUUCUUUUAUAUGUGAGCAGUGCUUCUUAUAUUAACAGUAUGGGGAGAGAGAUAUUAGCAUAUGAAUAAGCAACGGCUAACUCCGUG
rnacentral:rRNA from 1 species